rnacentral:rRNA from 1 species
CGGACGGGUGAGUAACGCGUGGAAAACCUGCCGUAUACUGGGGGAUAACACUUAGAGAUAGGUGCUAAUACCGCAUAAGCGCACAGCUUCGCAUGAAGCGGUGUGAAAAACUCUGGUGGUAUACGAUGGUUCCGCGUCUGAUUAGCUAGUUGGUGGGGUGAUGGCCUACCAAGGCAACGAUCAGUAGCCGGCCUGAGAGGGUGAACGGCCACAUUGGGACUGAGACACGGCCCAAACUCCUACGGAAGGCAGCAG